rnacentral:rRNA from 1 species
GACGAACGCUGGCGGCGUGCUUAACACAUGCCAGUCGAACGGAAAGGCCCUGCUUUUGUGGGGUGCUCGAGUGGCGAACGGGUGAGUAACACGUGAGUAACCUGCCCUUGACUUUGGGAUAACUUCAGGAAACUGGGGCUAAUACCGGAUAGGAGCUCCUGCUGCAUGGUGGGGGUUGGAAAGUUUCGGCGGUUGGGGAUGGACUCGCGGCUUAUCAGCUUGUUGUUGGGGUAGUGGCUUACCAAGGCUUUGACGGGUAGCCGGCCUGAGAGGGUGACCGGCCACAUUGGGACUGAGAUACGGCGAAGACUCCUACGGGAGGCAGCAGUGGGGAAUAUUGCACAAUGGGCGGAAGCCUGAUGCAGCAACGCCGCGUGCGGGAUGACGGCCUUCGGGUUGUAAACCGCUUUCGCCUGUGACGAAGCGUGAGUGACGGUAAUGGGUAAAGAAGCACCGGCUAACUACGUG